rnacentral:lncRNA from 7 species
CGAGAAAUGAACUUCUUCAAUCCCGUUUUCUGUAGAACCAGGCUGGUGAAGGAAUCAUGCAUGUUGAGGCCGAGUUUGGCCCAAAUCGAUAUACAGAAACCCGAACAGUUAUUUCUUGCAUUAUGUCAACACAAGCUAGAUCGACCUACAUACACCCAAACAAUUGGGCCCCGGAUAACUCCUCUUUGCAUUGGGGGCUAUAAAAAAUAAUGAUUUCACUAAUGUCCUCACUAUUCUACUGUACUAGCAGCGGCAUUUGGCUGCAGAAGCUGCUAGAGACAACAACACGUCAACACUACCGCCGGAGGAGCAGGAGGCAACCGAGGUUGAUGCAGCCGGCCAGCCGAGCCGUGCGCGAGCCGUCGAUUGCCCCCCUGUCACAUCUCGCAUCAUGACGCUUUAAUCCGUGUCGCCCUGUACUACUUAUAUAGUGUUUUUAUCUUUUUUUU